UAUCAGCUUUCGACGGUAAGGUAUUGGCUUACCGUGGCAGUGACGGUUAACGGGGAAUUAGGGUUCAAUUCCGGAGAGGGAGCCUGAGAAACGGCUACCACAUCUAAGGAAGGCAGCAGGCGCGCAAAUUACCCAAUUCUAACAGCAUAAGAGAGGUAGUGACAAGAAAUAACAGUACAAGGCAGUUAAAAUGCUUUGUAAUUGGAAUGAUAGAAAUUUAAAUACUUUUUAAAGUAUCAAUUGGAGGGCAAGUCUGGUGCCAGCAGCCGCGGUAAUUCCAGCUCCAAUAGCGUAUAUUAAAAUUGUUGCAGUUAAAAAGCUCGUAGUUGAAUUUUUGCUAAAAAUAACCGGUCUGCUUUUAUUAAUAAAAGUGGUAUCUUGGUGUGUUUUUAGCAAUAAUGUCCUUUGAAAUGUUAUUUACUUCAAUGUAAAAAGCAAUUUUCAGGAUUUUUACUUUGAGAAAAUUAGAGUGUUUCAAGCAGACUAACGUUUUGAAUACUGCAGCAUGGAAUAAUAAAAUAGGAUUUUAGUUCUACGUUAUUGGUUUUAAGAACUAAAUUAAUGAUUGAUAGGAGCAGUUGGGGGCAUUUGUAUUUAACUGUCAGAGGUGAA
rnacentral:rRNA from 1 species